UUACCGCGGCUGCUGGCACGAAAUUAGCCGGUGCUUCUUCUGUGGGUAACGUCAAGUACUUCCGAUUAUUAGCCAGAAGCCUUCCUCCCCACUGAAAGUGCUUUACAACCCUAAGGCCUUCUUCACACACGCGGCAUGGCUGGAUCAGGGUUUCCCCCAUUGUCCAAUAUUCCCCACUGCUGCCUCCCGUAGGAGUCUGGGCCGUGUCUCAGUCCCAGUGUGGCUGAUCAUCCUCUCAGACCAGCUACGGAUCGUCGCCUUGGUAGGCCUUUACCCUACCAACUAGCUAAUCCGACGCAGGCUCAUCUAUCGACGCAAGGCCCGAAGGUCCCCUGCUUUCCCCCGUAGGGCUUAUGCGGUAUUACCUUGAGUUUCCCCAAGCUAUCCCCCACCAAUAGGUAGAUUCCCACGUGUUCCUCACCCGUCCGCCGCUCGCCACCAGGAGCAAGCUCCCGUGCUGCCGCUCGACUUGCAUGUGUUAGGCCUGCCGCCAGCGUUCAAUCUGAGCCAUGAUCAAACUC
rnacentral:rRNA from 1 species